CAGAUUGCAGGCUGCAACUCGCCUGCAUGAAGUCGGAAUCGCUAGUAAUCGCGGAUCAGCAUGCCGCGGUGAAUACGUUCCCGGGCCUUGUACACACCGCCCGUCACACCAUGAGAGUUUGUAACACCCAAAGCCGGUGGGGUAACCUUUUGGAGCCAGCCGUCUAAGGUGGGACAGAUGAUUGGGGUGAAGUCGUAACAAGGUAGC
rnacentral:rRNA from 1 species